GGGUUGUUGGCGUAGUGCGCAAAGGCUCGGCCUGCUAAGCCGACGGUCCCGGGUUCGAUUCCCGGUUGGUCCC
rfam:Habropoda laboriosa contig8325, whole genome shotgun sequence.